AAAGUGUUUCUAGAUU
rnacentral:rRNA from 1 species